GUGCCAGCCGCCGCGGUAAUACGUAGGGGGCAAGCGUUGUCCGGAUUUAUUGGGCGUAAAGAGCGUGUAGGCGGCUUGACAAGUCUGCUGUGAAAACUCGAGGCUCAACCUCGAGAUGUCGGCGGAAACUGUCUGGCUAGAGUCCGGAAGAGGAGAGUGGAAUUCCUGGUGUAGCGGUGAAAUGCGCAGAUAUCAGGAAGAACACCUAUGGCGAAGGCAGCUCUCUGGGACGGUACUGACGCUGAGACGCGAAAGCGUGGGGAGCGAACAGGAUUAGAUACCCUGGUAGUCCACGCCGUAAACGAUGGGUGCUAGGUGUGGGGGGUGUCGACUCCCUCCGUGCCGAAGCUAACGCAUUAAGCACCCCGCCUGGGGAGUACGGCCGCAAGGCUAAA
rnacentral:rRNA from 1 species